AACUUUUCAGUUUCUCCCAGCUGUUUGGUGAUGUCAGAGUCAUCAUUACCUUUUUCCUAACCACGUCAGAGUCAUCUUCUUAAUCAUCACGUUUCCUAGACCCUAGGAAAUCGUGGGUUUUGGCAUUAAUUACCACCUCUCCAUCACACUAUCCAAAGGAGACACGUGUCCCACUAACUUGUAAACCAUUAAUGUUCAUUUGAAACAUUUUUUCUCUCAAACAUGCUUAUAAAAGCCACAAACUUACCAAU
rnacentral:lncRNA from 1 species